UGGGGUAUCGCCAAGCGGUAAGGCACCGGUUUUUGAUACCGGCAUUCCCUGGUUCGAAUCCGGUACCCUAGCCA
rnacentral:tRNA from 1 species